GAGUCGCCAUCUUGGGUUUCUGUUGGCUGCCGUCUCUCCACCGCGGUGUUUGGAGUGAGGCCAGGGACCAGGGAUGGCGUUGACAGAGAGGCUGUAGCACAGCUUCCAUGGUCACGACUUCCCUGCUCGUGUAGGAGCUCGCCUUGGUUACGGUGCUUGAAAGAGGGCAUUGGACAUUGUGUGUGGGGCCUGCCGGUGCGGUGACUUCGUGGAUUGUUGUGAUGGGUGGAACUAAAGUAGAACUUUGAGCAGCCCUCAGGAGCAGCAAGCCGCCACACCUGGAAGCUUUCAAGGCCCUUGGAGCUUAAGUGGCAAUGGCGCUCUUGGAAAGGAGUAAGAAAAGAAAACUACUAUGGGCCAUAUUCAUGAAGCCAUUUUGUGGUCAUGGCAGAAUUUAUAACUCUGUAAGUAUGGUACCUGAAUUAGAAAAUGCUGGUUCUCCAACACAGAAUGAUGUUGAAAGAAUACCCAAAAAAGCACAAGAGUGGCUUCACAGAAGUGAACAUAACCGGCCACAG